rnacentral:lncRNA from 10 species
CACAGCUCCUAGGAAUUCUCUCACCACCCUUGUGCCUUUAGGCUUCGGUAGAUUGCAAAUGACCUGCUUUCUUUCGGAUCCCGGGCUGCUUUCGGACACCUGUCGAAUAGUAAAUCCCAAGUAAGGUACCUGCGGUCGUCGGCAGAUCUGAAUUUUCUUCUUGGACACCUAAUACCCACAGUCCUCCAGAGACCGAGAGGUUGAUGUCACUCCCAAUAUCGGAGGAAGUAUACACCCCCGUGUGAGAUGGUCCUUAAUAAUAUUCCACGGCGGAGGGGGUGAUAUGACUACAUACAUGGCAGAAAGUGGAAACCUCCCAGGGAUAUUGUUCCCACGAUCCUGGAGGGAAGAAGAUGAUGUUACUUUCAAUAUGACAGAAGGUGGAUGAAGUGGUGGACUGCCCCUCCACACCUGUGGACACGCCCCCACUGAUAUUCCUUCUAAUUGCAGCGUGGGAGAGGAGGAUAUGACACGCGAUAUCGCAGGGAGUAGAAACACCCCUGUGAUACUGUUCUUAAUAUUCAGGGAGGAAGAGGAUGAUAUUACUCCCAAUACAGACGGGUGUACACCCUCUGUACACCGAGGGUGUACACCUGUCUGUGAAAGAGUUCGUAAUCUCCAGAGGGGGAGAUGAUAUUACUCACAAUAUGGUAAAGAGGCUGUGAGUCCACGGAGGAUCCUCAGAGCCAGCGGGGGAAGAGGGGCUGGCUCUCAGUCCCCGCCUCGCGGGGGUGACUCCCCCCAGUGCGAUGGGGGUCCUAAGAGCCAGUGGGGGAAGAGGGGCUGGCUCUGAGACCCCGCCUCGCGGGGGGUGCCUCCCCGCCCUGUGAUGGGGGUCCGAAGAGCCAGAAGGCUUAGAGGGGCUGGCUCUCAGUCCCCGCCUCGCGGGGGGUGCCUCCUCCCCCUGCGAUGGGGGUCGUAAGAGCCACUGGGGGAAUAGGGGCUUGCUCUCAGUCACCGCCUCGCGGGGGGUGCCUCCUUUCCUUUCUACAUAGACACAGUGACAGUCUGAUCUCUCUUUCUUUUCCCUACAGAUGGACACGCCCCCACUGAUAUUGUUUUUAAUGCAGCGUGGGAGGGGAGGAUAUGACACGCGAUAUCGCAGGUAGUAGAAACACCCCUUUGAUAGUGUUCUUAAUAUUCAGGGAGGAAGAAGAUGAUGUUACUCCCAAUACAGACGGAUGUACACCCUCUGUACACCGAGGGUGUACACCCGUCUGUGAAGGAGUUCGUAAUCUCCAGAGGUGGAGAUGAUAUUACUCACAAUAUGGUAAACAGGCUGUGAGUCCAUCGCGGAUCCUCAGAGCCAGGUGGGGAAGAGGGGCUGGCUGUCAGUCCCCUCCUCGCGGGGGGUGCCUCCCCCACUGCUAUGGGGAUCCCAAGAGCCAGUGGGGGAAGAGGUGCUGGCUCUCAGUCUCCGCCUCGCGAGGUGCCUCCCCACCCUGCGAUCGGGGUCCGAAGAGCCAGGGGGGAAGAGGGGCUGGCUCUCUUCGUGGAUGAUUCUUUUUCCAUUCUCAGGCAGUUUUCUUUUUUCUUUCUUUCUUUUUUUUUUUUUUUGAGACUGAGUCUUGCUCUGUUGCCCAUGCUUUGCUCGAUCUCGGGUGACUGCAACCACUGCCUCCCAGGUUCAAGAGAUUCUCCUGCCUCAGCCUCCUGAGUAGCUGGGACUAGAGGCGUGUGUCACCACACCCAGCUAAUUUUUGUAUUUUUAGUAGAGAUGGGGUUUCACCAUGUUUGCCAGGAUGGUCUCUAUCUCCUGCCCUUGUGAUCCACCCACCUCAGCCUCCCAAAGUGCUGGGAUUGCAGGUGCGAGCCACCGGGUCCAGCCUCUCAGGCGAUUUUCAUACCUGCAUACUCUGGUCACUACUCUGUUAAACAGUCAAGGAGGGUAAGUAUUAUCUUCAGAUUUCCAGAGCUCUGUCUCUGUACAGCCCUCUCCUCCUCAAUAUUCUGCCCUAUGAAUUCUAGCCACAUUGGCCUUCCCAGGCUCACAGUUCUGUCUUCUCAACUCAGGAAGAUCUCUGAGUUCCAUCUGCAUUCUUUCUUCCUGUGCUGUGGCCUGGAAAGUUUUCUAAGGUGUUAGGGAGGUCAAUUGUGGGGCUAGCCUCAUUUGUUUCUCAUCUCUUGAGGAUCACUGCCCUUUGAUGCUUGAUUCCAGUGAUUGAUUCCCUUUGUUGCUUGAGGGCCAUAGUUUCAUAUAUUUUGUCCAGUAGUUUUGUUGUUUUAGGUCAGAAAGUAAUUUUGGUCUCUGUUACUCUAUCUUGGCCAGAAGUGUAAGACCUAAGCAUUUACACAUCAAAAUACUGCACACAUAAUUUUAGUUUAAGCUACUUUUUAAAAAAUCUCCUUCAUUUUCCAUUUAGCAUUCUAUUUAGGGUAUUACAUUGGUUUUUUUGAAAUUCUGUUAUUGGCAGUUUCUAUUGCCUAUCAAUCCCAUUUAAAGAUAGUGCAUAGGGUAUUCUAAAAUAGCUGUUAAGCAAAGAGAAAAUUGGGCCUGAUAGGGUGAGAAUCACAGCUCUAAUACCUAGAGUGACCUUAUAAUGUAUUGUCCAAAGGAGAUAUUUUUGACAGUGAAAGAGGGUGUUGUUAGUAAUUAUAUCAGGACCAUGGCCUAAACCAGGACUAUCCCAGGAAGCCUGGGACAUAUUUGUACCCCAUCUCUAUUUAAUGCCUUUAUACAAUUCUUUACUUAAUUCUACCAGCCUUUAUUGAGCCUGCUUUCUUUGUCUAGCUGAGUGCCACGUGCUGACGUCACUAAGAUCAAUACAGCAAACUCUGAAAGAUGGACAGAGAGACAGGAGAUGGUCCUUUAUAAUGCAGUGUGAUCUGUGCUGCAAUAGAGAUGGAAGAGUGUUCUGAUCGGCUGGAAAACAACGCACAUGGGAAGCUGUACAGAAAUGAGUGGGGAAAGUUUUGGAAGCUAGAAGUUCAAAACGAGGUGUUGGCAGCACCAUGCUCUCUCUGAAGAUGCUAGGAAGAAUCUGCUCCAUGCCUUUCCAUUCGCUUCUGGGGUUUCCUGCAAGCCCUGACAUUCCUUGGCUUGUAGAUGCAUCACCCCAGUUUCCGCCCCCAUCAUCACAUGGCCUCCUCUCUGUGUGUGCCUCUGCGUUCCCUCUAUUCUUCUUCUAAGGACACCGACACCAGUCAUAGUGGAUUAAGUGUCCACUCCUAACCAAUUACAUCUGCAACAACCCUAUUUCCAAAUAAAGUCACAUUCUAAGAUUCCUAGGGAGAACAUGAAUUUUUGGGGGUGUGUGGAUACUGUUCAACCUGGGACAUGGAGUAAAUAAAUGGCAAG